UACGGGGGGGGCAAGCGUUGUUCGGAAUUACUGGGCGUAAAGGGCUCGUAGGCGGCCAACUAAGUCGGACGUGAAAUCCCUCGGCUUAACCGGGGAACUGCGUCCGAUACUGGAUGGCUUGAGUUCGGGAGAGGGAUGCGGAAUUCCAGGUGUAGCGGUGAAAUGCGUAGAUAUGUGGAGGAACACCGAUGGCGAAGGCAGCCCCCUGGGCUAACACUGACGCCUCAUGCACGAAAGCGUGGGGAGCAAACAGG
rnacentral:rRNA from 1 species